AAUGGGCGAAAGCCUGACGGAGCAAUACCGCGUGAGGGAGGAAGGCUCUUGGGUUGUAAACCUCUUUUCUCAGGGAAGAAAAAAAUGACGGUACCUGAGGAAUAAGCAUCGGCUAACUCCGUGCCAGCAGCCGCGGUAAUACGGAGGAUGCAAGCGUUAUCCGGAAUGAUUGGGCGUAAAGCGUCCGCAGGUGGCUUUGUAAGUCUGCUGUUAAAUAGUGAGGCUCAACCUCAUAAAGGCAGUGGAAACUACACGGCUAGAGUGCGUUCGGGGCAGAGGGAAUUCCUGGUGUAGCGGUGAAAUGCGUAGAGAUCAGGAAGAACACCGGUGGCGAAAGCGCUCUGCUAGGCCGCAACUGACACUGAGGGACGAAAGCUAGGGGAGCGAAUGGGAUUAGAUACCCC
rnacentral:rRNA from 1 species